rnacentral:rRNA from 1 species
GCCUAAUACAUGCAAGCCGAACGGCAAGCUUGGUAGCAAUAUCGAGCCUAGAGUGGCGUAAGGGUGCGUAACACGUAUGCAAUCUGCCCGCAACAGGAGGAUAGUUCCCCGAAAGGGGAAUUAAUACUCCAUAAGAUCACACGAGGGCAUCUGAGAGUGAUUAAACUACAAGGGGUUGCGGAUGAGCAUGCGGUUGAUUAGCUAGUUGGUAGUGUAACGGACUACCAAGGCAAUGAUCAAUAGGGGAACUGAGAGGUUUAUCCCCCACACUGGCACUGAGAUACGGGCCAGACUCCUACGGGAGGCAGCAGUAGGGAAUAUUGGACAAUGGGCGAGAGCCUGAUCCAGCCAUGCCGCGUGCAGGAAGAAGGCCUUCUGGGUUGUAAACUGCUUUUGCCAGGGGAUAAAAGACCCGUGCGCGGGGAAUUGAAGGUACCUGGUGAAUAAGCCACGGCUAACUACGUGCCAGCAGCCGCGGUAAUACGUAGGUGGCAAGCGUUGUCCGGAUUUAUUGGGUUUAAAGGGUGCGUAGGCGGUUUAAUAAGUCAGUGGUGAAAUACGGCAGCUCAACUGUCGAGGUGCCAUUGAUACUGUUAGACUUGAGUACAGACGAGGUAGGCGGAAUUGACGGUGUAGCGGUGAAAUGCUUAGAUAUCGUCAAGAACACCGAUAGCGAAGGCAGCUUACUAGACUGUAACUGACGCUGAGGCACGAAAGUGUGGGGAUCAAACAGGAUUAGAUACCCUGGUAGUCCACACUGUAAACGAUGAUUACUCGAUGUUGGCGAUACACAGCCAGCGUCUUAGCGAAAGCGAUAAGUAAUCCACCUGGGGAGUACGCCGGCAACGGUGAAACUCAAAG